UACGAAGGGGGGCUAGCGUUGUUCGGAAUUACUGGGCGUAAAGCGUGCGCAGGCGGCUUCUCAAGUCAGGGGUGAAAGCCCAGAGCUCAACUCUGGAAUUGCCUUUGAGACUGAGAGGCUUGAGUACGGGAGAGGUGAGUGGAAUUCCCAGUGUAGAGGUGAAAUUCGUAGAUAUUGGGAAGAACACCGGUGGCGAAGGCGGCUCACUGGCCCGAAACUGACGCUCAUGCACGACAGCGUGGGGAGUCAAACAGG
rnacentral:rRNA from 1 species